rnacentral:tRNA from 1 species
ACAAGACCAUAUAGCUCAGUGGUUAGAGCGUCCCUCAUGUGUAGAGGAGGUCUCUGGUUCAAUUCCGGAUUUCUGUA